rnacentral:rRNA from 1 species
UACGUAGGGGGCAAGCGUUGUCCGGAUUUAUUGGGCGUAAAGAGCGUGUAGGCGGCCUGAAAGGUCAGCUGUGAAAACUCGAGGCUCAACCUCGAGACGUCGGUUGAAACCAUCUGGCUAGAGUCCGGAGGAGGAGUGUGGAAUUCCCGGUGUAGCGGUGAAAUGCGCAGAUAUCGGGAAGAACACCCGUGGCGAAGGCGGCACUCUGGGACGGUACUGACGCUGAGACGCGAAAGCGUGGGGAGCGAACAGG